UACGAAGGGUGCAAACGUUGCUCGGAAUUAUUGGGCGUAAAGCGCGCGUAGGCGGCUUGGCAAGUCGGAUGUGAAAUCCCUCGGCUCAACCGAGGAAGUGCAUCCGAAACUGCCGAGCUUGAGUACUUAAGAGGAUCGCGGAAUUCCCGGUGUAGAGGUGAAAUUCGUAGAUAUCGGGAGGAACACCAGUGGCGAAGGCGGCGAUCUGGGAAGAUACUGACGCUGAGGUGCGAAAGCGUGGGGAGCAAACAGG
rnacentral:rRNA from 1 species